rnacentral:rRNA from 1 species
GAUGAACGCUGGCGGCGUGCCUAAUACAUGCAAGUCGAGCGGAUGGAUUAAGAGCUUGCUCUUAUGAAGUUAGCGGCGGACGGGUGAGUAACACGUGGGUAACCUGCCCAUAAGACUGGGAUAACUCCGGGAAACCGGGGCUAAUACCGGAUAACAUUUUGAACCGCAUGGUUCGAAAUUGAAAGGCGGCUUCGGCUGUCACUUAUGGAUGGACCCGCGUCGCAUUAGCUAGUUGGUGAGGUAACGGCUCACCAAGGCAACGAUGCGUAGCCGACCUGCGAGGGUGAUGGGCCACACGGGGACUGAGACACGGCCCAGACUCCUACGGGAGGCAGCAGUAGGGAAUCUUCCGCAAUGGACGAAAGUCUGACGGAGCAACGCCGCGUGAGUGAUGAAGGCUUUCGGGUCGUAAAACUUUGUUGUUAGGGAAGAACAAGUGCUAGUUGAAUAAGCUGGCACCUUGACGGUACCUAACCAGAAAGCCACGGCUAACUACGUGCCAGCAGCCGCCGUAA